rnacentral:rRNA from 1 species
AUGCCGCCUCCUAUCGGCGCUCGAAUCCACUCGUCCACCGGCCGCAAGAUCUGCCGUCCGUGUCCACGGACGGAAGACAGGGAGACGGCGGGCGCGCAGGACAUCGCCUCCGCCCGACCAUUACCNNNNNNNNNNNNNNNNNNNNNNNNNNNNNNNNNNNNNNNNNNNNUUCUCCACGUCGUCAGACCACGGCAGCUAAGCGAGUCGAUGGAUCUAACAGCCAUUAAAAAGUUACUCAGUUCUCGUAGACCAAGUGCAGACUACUUGGCUGGCGUAGAUGGUUUCCUUGAUUUUGCAUACACUGGAAAAAGUUCAGAUGCGAAGAUCCAUUGUCCAUGCGUCAGAUGUGUUAAUAGGAACUUGUUGAAGCGAGACACCGUAUAUGAUCAUUUGGUGUGUAAUGGAACGCUACUUCGAUACACAGUUUGGGGUUGUCAUGGUGAAACUGCAGGAUACAUCUCCUCUAACAAACGAAAAAGGUCAAAACAGGAAGGCAUAAACUCUAAUAUGCGCCAGCUAGUCCAUGAUGUUUUCGGGAACAUAGAUAAUGGGUCUCAAGUGAAUGACUUCGAUGACCCAAACCCUCCAGAACAUGGACCAGAUCCUGAAACCCAAUCUUUUUAUGACUUGUUGAGAGAUGCAGAUGUACCUUUGUGGGACGGGUGUGAACUAUCAAAACAUUGUUUCCUUGUGCUUCUGUUCAACAUAAAAUCCAGUAACAAGUGGAGUAAUAAAUCUAUAAAUGAUUUGCUAGCAGUUCUACAACAAGCAAUUCCAAAUGGCAAGAAUUUACCUGGAACUUUUGCCGAGGCCAAGAAGAUCAUUGGAAAGCUUGGGCUUAGUUAUGAGAGAAUUCAUGUUUGUGAAAAAGAUUGUCAGCUUUUUUGGAAAGAGAAGGCUAAUGAUGACUUUUGCUCAGUAUGUGGAGCAUCAAGGUGGAAAAACAAACCUGAUAAAACCGUGCUAACUAACAAGGAAAGGAAAAAAGCAACCCCGAAGAAGGUGCUCCGGUACUUCCCUAUUAAGCCAAGGCUUAAGAGGCUUUUUAUGCACAAGGAAACUGCUAUAGCAUUAAGAUGGCAUGAUGAGGAACGCAUAAAAGAUGGAGCAUUGCGACAUUUAGCUGAUUCAGCGGCAUGGAAGGAGAUUGACUCUAAGUAUAAGCACAUCAGAUCAGAUUCUCGAAAUAUUAGAUUCAUAAUCACAGCUGAUGGAUUCAAUCCGUUUGGUAAGCUGAAUAGUAAACAUAGUUGCUGGCCUGUUGUCCUAGUACCCAAUAACCUUCCACCAUGUUUGUGCAUGAAGGCAUCUUCUCUUAUGCUCACUCUGCUUAUUCCUGGUCCAACUUACCCUGGAAAGAAUUUCCAUGUAUUCAUGCAACCAGUUUAUGAAGAACUAACCGAGCUGUUUAUGGUAGGAACACAUACAUAUGAUGCAUCUCGAGGUGAGAUGUUUCAACUUUAUGCUGUUGUGUUGUCUACCGUGAGUGACUACCCCGGGCUAGCUCUCUUUGCAGGAUAUAGCGUAAAUGGUGAGUUUGGUUGUUUUCCAUGUUGUGAUGAAACAUGUUCUAAACGCUUGAAAUAUGGGCAGAAGUACUGUUUCAUGGGGCAUCGCCGAUUUCUGCCCCCAGAUCACAAAUUCCGUUUUGAUGCUAGAUCGUUUGAUGGAUCUGAAGAACAUAGAGCGGCACCUAGUGCUUAUGCGGAAACUAGAGUUGUAGAUCAAAUAAAAUCAAUUUCAGAUUUUCAGAAAUCCAAAACAUGGAAGUGUGUCGGUGGCCUAUUCAAUUUGCCUUAUUGGGACUUCAAUUUACUUCGUCACAAUCUUUAUAUCAUGCAUAUUGAGAAGAACAUAUGUGAAAACAUAUAUGGAACACUUCUAGGAAUAUAA